GCGCCCGUAGCUCAAUAGGAAAGAGCGACGGACUACGAAUCCGUAGGCUGGAGGUUCGAGUCCUCUCGGGCGCA
rnacentral:tRNA from 1 species